AUUGAACGCUGGCGGAAUGCUUUACACAUGCAAGUCGAACGGUAGAGGGGGCAACCCCUCGAGAGUGGCGAACGGGUGAGUAAUAUAUCGGAACGUGCCAGUCGUGGGGGAUAACGUAGCGAAAGUUACGCUAAUACCGCAUACGAUCUAAGGAUGAAAGCGGGGGAUCGCAAGACCUCGCGCGAUUGGAGCGGCCGAUAUCAGAUUAGGUAGUUGGUGGGGUGAAGGCUCACCAAGCCAACGAUCUGUAGCUGGUCUGAGAGGACGACCAGCCACACUGGAACUGAGACACGGUCCAGACUCCUACGGGAGGCAGCAGUGGGGAAUUUUGGACAAUGGACGCAAGUCUGAUCCAGCCAUUCCGCGUGCAGGAUGAAGGCCCUCGGGUUGUAAACUGCUUUUGUACGGAACGAAAAGGUCUCUCUUAAUACGGGGGGCUCAUGACGGUACCGUAAGAAUAAGCACCGGCUAACUACGUGCCAGCCGCCGCUGUAA
rnacentral:rRNA from 1 species